GUCUUAAGGACUGGAGGCGUAGCGAGAGCGAGUCUAAACAGGGCGUUUAGUAGCGUGCAAUGGGCCCGAAACCGGGUGACCUACCCAUGAUCAGGCUGAAGUGAAAGUAAAAUUUCAUGGAGGGCCGAACCGACCUCCGUUGAAAAGGCGGCGGAUGAAUUGUGGGUAGCGGAGAAAUUCCAAUCGAACUCGGAGAUAGCUGGUUCUCCCCGAAAUAGCUUUAGGGCUAGCCUCAUGUUAGAUAUCCGGAGGUAAAGCACUGAAUGGCCUAGCGUCCGAGAGGAUAGCGAAGCCUAUCAAACUAAGAAUGCCGGAAUAUUGAUGCAUGGGAGUCAGACAGUGUGAGAUAAAUCUCAUUGUCAAAAGGGAAACAGCCCAGAUCUACAGCUAAGGUCCCAAAUUGUAUCUAAGUGGAAAACGAUGUGGAAAUACGCAGACAACCAGGAUGUUGGCUCAGAAGCAGCCACUCAUUUAAAGAGUGCGUAAUAGCUCACUGGUCGAGCGUCUCUGCGCGGAAAAUUUAACGGGGCUAAGAUACAAACCGAAGCUUAGGCUGCAUAUGAAAGUAUGCGGGGUAGGGGAGCGUUGUGUAAGCGGAGAAACAGUAGCGGAAGCGGCUGUGGAGUUUACAGAAGUGAGAAUGCCGGAAUGAGUAGCGCGAAUGAUGUGAGAAUCAUCAUGGCCGGAAACCUCAGGUUUUUGGAGGAAGGUUCGUCCGCUCCAAGUUAGGCGGGAGCUAAGGUGAGGCCGAAAGGCGUAGCCGAUGCACAGACGGUAGAGAUUCCGUCCCCACCGAAAGAUUUAAGCGCAGGGACACUUUUAGAAGGUCGGAGCCAGGUGUUGGUUCUGGUAGAGAUCGAGGGAAGAUUAGUACCGAAGUCCGGCUGGAUAAGAGGCGAGAAAAGCUGCGUGUAUAUCUAAGGUGCCCGUACCGCAAACCGACACAGGUAGGUAGGAAGAAGAUUCUAAGGCCAACGGGAGAAGGGUUGUUAAGGAACUCGGCAAAUUGACCCCGUAACUUCGGGAGAAGGGGUGCUCCAGAGAUGGAGCCGCAGAGAAUCGGCCCAAGCAACUGUUUACCAAAAACACAGGUUUGUGCUAAAUCGAAAGAUGACGUAUACGAGCUGACGCCUGCCCGGUGCUGGAAGGUUAAGAGGAGAUGUGCAAGCAUUGAAUCGAAGCCCCAGUGAACGGCGGCCGUAACUAUAACGGUCCUAAGGUAGCGAAAUUCCUUGUCAGGUAAGUUCUGACCCGCAUGAAAGGCGUAAUGAUUUGGGCACUGUCUCAACAGCCCGCCCGGCGAAAUUGUAGUACCGGUGAAGAUGCCGGUUACCCGCGACAAGACGGAAAGACCCCAUGGAGCUUUACUGUAGCCUAAUAUUGGGUUUCGAUGUUGCAUGCACAGGAUAGAUGGGACGCUAGGAAGUGAGUGCUUUGGCAUUCAUGGAGCGGCCGUUGGGAUACCAUCCUUGCGACAUUGGAAUUCUAACCUGCGCCUUUGAAUCAAGGCGGGGGACAUUGUUAGGUGGGCAGUUUGACUGGGGCGGUCGCCUCCUAAAAAGUAACGGAGGCGUUCAAAGGUUCGCUCAGCUUGAACGGAAAUCAAGCAAAAGAGUGCAAACGCAGAAGCGAGCCUAACUGCGAGACUGACGGGUCGAGCAGUAACGAAAGUUGGAGUUAGUGAUCCGGUGGUAUGUGAGUGGAAAUGCCAUCGCUCAACGGAUAAAAGUUACCCUGGGGAUAACAGGCUGAUCUCCCCCAAGAGUCCACAUCGACGGGGAGGUUUGGCACCUCGAUGUCGGCUCAUCGCAUCCUGGGGCUGUAUUCGGUCCCAAGGGUUUGGCUGUUCGCCAAUUAAAGCGGUACGCGAGCUGGGUUCAGAACGUCGUGAGACAGUUCGGUCCCUAUCUGUCGUGGGCGCAGGAUAUUUGAAAGGCGCUGUCCCUAGUACGAGAGGACCGGGAUGGACGAACCUCUGGUGCACCAGUUGUCACGCCAGUGGCACAGCUGGGCAGCUAUGUUCGGAUCGGAUAAACGCUGAAAGCAUCUAAGCGUGAAGCCGGCCUUAAGAUAAGAUAUCCCACUGAGACAAUCAGGUAAGACCCCUUGA
rnacentral:rRNA from 1 species